UGGGGAAUUUUGGACAAUGGGGGCAACCCUGAUCCAGCCAUGCCGCGUGUGUGAAGAAGGCCUUCGGGUUGUAAAGCACUUUCGGCCGGAACGAUAUCGCGCGGGCUAACACUCCGCGUGGAUGACGGUACCGGAAGAAGAAGCACCGGCUAACUACGUGCCAGCAGCCGCGGUAAUACGUAGGGUGCGAGCGUUAAUCGGAAUUACUGGGCGUAAAGUGUGCGCAGGUGGCCGCGCAAGUCGAGUGUGAAAGCCCCGGGCUUAACUUGGGAAUUGCGCUCGAAACUACGUGGCUAGAGUGUGGCAGAGGAAGGUGGAAUUCCACGUGUAGCGGUGAAAUGCGUAGAGAUGUGGAGGAACACCGAUGGCGAAGGCAGCCUUCUGGGCCAACACUGACGCUCAUGCACGAAAGCGUGGGGAGCAAACAGGAUUAGAUACCCUGGUAGUCCACGCCCUAAACGAUGAUGACUAGUU
rnacentral:rRNA from 1 species